AGAGUUUGAUCCUGGCUCAGGAUGAACGCUGGCGGCGUGCUUAACACAUGCAAGUCGAACGAAGCACUUUAUUUGAUUUCCUUCGGGACUGAUUAUUUUGUGACUGAGUGGCGGACGGGUGAGUAACGCGUGGGUAACCUGCCUUGUACAGGGGGAUAACAGUUGGAAACGGCUGCUAAUACCGCAUAAGCGCACGGCAUCGCAUGAUGCAGUGUGAAAAACUCCGGUGGUAUAAGAUGGACCCGCGUUGGAUUAGCUAGUUGGUGAGGUAACGGCCCACCAAGGCGACGAUCCAUAGCCGACCUGAGAGGGUGACCGGCCACAUUGGGACUGAGACACGGCCCAAACUCCUACGGGAGGCAGCAGUGGGGAAUAUUGCACAAUGGGCGAAAGCCUGAUGCAGCGACGCCGCGUGAGCGAAGAAGUAUUUCGGUAUGUAAAGCUCUAUCAGCAGGGAAGAUAAUGACGGUACCUGACUAAGAAGCACCGGCUAAAUACGUGCCAGCAGCCGCGGUAAUACGUAUGGUGCAAGCGUUAUCCGGAUUUACUGGGUGUAAAGGGAGCGCAGGCGGCGCGGCAAGUCUGAUGUGAAAGCCCGGGGCUCAACCCCGGUACUGCAUUGGAAACUGUCGUACUAGAGUGUCGGAGGGGUAAGUGGAAUUCCUAGUGUAGCGGUGAAAUGCGUAGAUAUUAGGAGGAACACCAGUGGCGAAGGCGGCUUACUGGACGAUAACUGACGCUGAGGCUCGAAAGCAUGGGGAGCAAACAGGAUUAGAUACCCUGGUAGUCCACGCCGUAAACGAU
rnacentral:rRNA from 1 species